rnacentral:rRNA from 1 species
UACAGAGGGGGCAAGCGUUGUUCGGAAUUACUGGGCGUAAAGGGCGCGUAGGCGCCUUCUAAGUCGAACGUGAAAUCCCCGGGCUCAACCCGGGAACUGCGUCCGAGACUGGAAGGCUUGAAUCCGGGAGAGGGAUGUGGAAUUCCAGGUGUAGCGGUGAAAUGCGUAGAUAUCGGGAGGAACACCAGAGGCGAAGGCGGGGUUACUGGGCUGAUACUGACGCUGAUGCGCGAAAGCUAGGGGAGCAAACGGG